rnacentral:rRNA from 1 species
GACGAACGCUGGCGGCGUGCUUAACACAUGCAAGUCGAACGGAAAGGCCCUGCUUUUGUGGGGUGCUCGAGUGGCGAACGGGUGAGUAACAUGUGAGUAACCUGCCCUUGACUUUGGGAUAACUUCAGGAAACUGGGGCUAAUACCGGAUAGGAGCUCCUGCUGCAUGGUGGGGGUUGGAAAGUUUCGGCGGUUGGGGAUGGACUCGCGGCUUAUCAGCUUGUUGGUGGGGUAGUGGCUUACCAAGGCUUUGACGGGUAGUCGGCCUGAGAGGGUGACCGGCCUCGUUGGGACUGAGAUACGGCCCAGACUCCUACGGGAGGCAGCGGUGGGGAAUAUUACACAAUGGGCGGAAGCCUGAUGCAGCAACGCCGCGUGCGGGAUGACGACCUUCGGGUUGUAAACCGCUUUCGCCUGUGACGAAGCGUGAGUGACGGUAAUGAGUAAAGAAACACCGGCUAACUACGUG